rnacentral:rRNA from 1 species
AACGUAGGACGCAAGCGUUAUCCGGAGUUACUGGGCGUAAAGCGCGGGCAGGCGGCUCGAAACGUCUGAUGUGAAAUCUCCUCGCUCAACGGGGAGAGGCCAUUGGAAACGGUCGAGCUGGAGGGCAGUAGAGGUAGGCGGAAUUCCGGGUGGAGUGGUGAAAUGCGUAGAGAUCCGGAGGAACACCAGUGGCGAAGGCGACUUCCUGGCCUGUUCUUGACGCUGAGGCGCGAAAGCUAGGGUAGCAAACGGG